rnacentral:rRNA from 1 species
ACGGGAGGCAGCAGUCGGGAAUAUUGCGCAAUGGAGGAAACUCUGACGCAGUGACGCCGCGUAUAGGAAGAAGGUUUUCGGAUUGUAAACUAUUGUCGUUAGGGAAGAUAAAAGACAGUACCUAAGGGGGAAGCUCCGGCUAACUACGUGCCAGCAGCCGCGGUAAUACGUAGGGAGCAAGCGUUAUCCGGAUUUAUUGGGUGUAAAGGGUGCGUAGACGGGAAAUUAAGUUAGUUGUGAAAUCCCUCGGCUUAACUGAGGAACUGCAACUAAAACUGGUUUUCUUGAGUGCAGGAGAGGUAAGUGGAAUUCCUAGUGUAGCGGUGAAAUGCGUAGAUAUUAGGAGGAACACCAGUGGCGAAGGCGACUUACUGGACUGUAACUGACGUUGAGGCACGAAAGUGUGGGGAGCAAACAGGAUUAGAUACCCUGGUA